AGCUUUGGUGAGGUAAAGGCUUACCAAGGCGACGAUCUGUAGCGGGUCUGAGAGGAUGAUCCGCCACACUGGAACUGAGACACGGUCCAGACUCCUACGGGAGGCAGCAGUGGGGAAUUUUGGACAAUGGGGGCAACCCUGAUCCAGCCAUGCCGCGUGAGUGAAGAAGGCCUUCGGGUUGUAAAGCUCUUUCGGCCGGGAAGAAAUCGCAUGGGCCAAUACCCUGUGUGGAUGACGGUACCGGAAUAAGAAGCACCGGCUAACUACGUGCCAGCAGCCGCGGUAAUACGUAGGGUGCGAGCGUUAAUCGGAAUUACUGGGCGUAAAGCGUGCGCAGGCGGUUUUGUAAGACAGGCGUGAAAUCCCCGGGCUUAACCUGGGAACUGCGUUUGUGACUGCAAGGCUAGAGUACGGCAGAGGGGGGUGGAAUUCCACGUGUAGCAGUGAAAUGCGUAGAGAUGUGGAGGAACACCAAUGGCGAAGGCAGCCCCCUGGGUCGAUACUGACGCUCAUGCACGAAAGCGUGGGUAGCAAACAGGAUUAGAUACCCUGGUAGUCCACGCCCUAAACUAUGUCAACUAGGUGUUGGGUGGGUAAAACCAUUUAGUACCGUAGCUAACGCGUGAAGUUGACCGCCUGGGGAGUACGGCCGCAAGGUUAAAACUCAAAGGAAUUGACGGGGACCCGCACAAGCGGUGGAUGAUGUGGAUUAAUUCGAUGCAACGCGAAAAACCUUACCUACCCUUGACAUGCCAGGAACUUGCCAGAGAUGGCUUGGUGCCCGAAAGGGAGCCUGGACACAGGUGCUGCAUGGCUGUCGUCAGCUCGUGUCGUGAGAUGUUGGGUUAAGUCCCGCAACGAGCGCAACCCUUGUCGUUAAUUGCCAUCAUUUGGUUGGGCACUUUAACGAGACUGCCGGUGACAAACCGGAGGAAGGUGGGGAUGACGUCAAGUCCUCAUGGCCCUUAUGGGUAGGGCUUCACACGUCAUACAAUGGUCGGUACAAAGGGUUGCCAAGCCGCGAGGCGGAGCCAAUCCCAGAAAGCCGAUCGUAGUCCGGAUUGCAGGCUGCAACUCGCCUGCAUGAAGUCGGAAUCGCUAGUAAUCGUGGAUCAGCAUGUCACGGUGAAUACGUUCCCGGGUCUUGUACACACCGCCCGUCACACCAUGGGAGCGGGUUCCGCCAGAAGUAGGUAGCCUAACCGCAAGGGGGGCGCUUACCACGGCGGGGUUCGUGACUGGGGUGAAGUCGGAACAAGGUAGCCGUAGGGGAACCUGCGGCUG
rnacentral:rRNA from 1 species